rnacentral:ncRNA from 2 species
UUGAUUAAGCAAGCGCCAGGACUUGCAAUAAGCAAGUUGACGAGGACAGGGUUAAUCGAAGUUAUCGGCGGAUGCCCUGCGGCACAGCUCCGUGUCGAUAGAGGUUUUACAAAACCGCAAGCGAUUGUAGGUACAAAGUAAACUGAAAGGAGCAU